GACAAGCCCAUGGAUGUCUACAAAGAGUGAACUGAUCACUGUGGGCUGGCCUUUGAGGCAUCAGUGAGCUCCAGUGCCUGGGACAAUGCCUGACACUUAGCAGACAGUCAGUGAAUGUGUUAUAUAAAUGAAUGAAUACUUGGAGCGUGAGAAUCAGAGCGGCAAAAAUAUUUGUCCAUAAUAUGCCUAAAGAUAAAAACGGAAGCCUCAGAACUAGAUAAGUGCAUUGUAAUUGAAUGCUGAAUUCACAGAGAUAACAUCUGAGAUUUAUUAAGCAUCAAGUCAUGUCUUAAAAAUUUUAUAUACAUUUUAGGAUUUAACUCUUAUAAAAAUCCUGUGGGCAUUGUGGCUCUGGAGACCUGGAAGCACUGCUAACUGUUCUCUCGAUUUUCUGACGCUCGGCCACAUCAACCUGUCAUACUAGUUGUGAGGAGAAGUCAAGGACAGUGACACAGCCAGCCAGUCUGAGGCAUUUUCCAUCAUCCUGAAGGAGUUGCCCUAUCCUGCUUUUCACUGGAGGGGGCAUGGAUGGGGAUCCUGGAUGACAAAGCAGUCACCUACUUGAACACUGCUAAUUAUGAAGUCAGAAAGAGGAAAGUUUGCAGAGUUUUGUAUUGGCAAUCAAACAUUCAGCCACAGGUCACAGUCUAGAACCAGACACAUCAGUGUCCUCAACUGCAAAGUAGCCAGGAAGCAGCAUCCCAUAACACAGUCCUAUGUCCACUGUUUUGGAGAAGUACCAAUGUGAUUGAAGCAAGGGAAAUUGCUAUGGGAUAUCUGACCAACUGGAUAUUCUGCUGGAAGAGCAGAAU
rnacentral:lncRNA from 10 species